CCUACCAGCUCAGAAAGGCCUGAAGGCGUUCGCGUACCCCCACAGCCAGCAUCCCCAAACAUGCCAGCCCCCAGCCCCAGGCAGAACCGCUUCAUCCCUUUCCCCAGCCCCGUCCGCGUCUUCCCAGUCAGGACUUGUUCACCUGGAGCUUCAUCCUCUUGGGGCAGAGCGAAAAGGUGACCCUGGGGAUGGCGGAAGGGAGACCCUGAGAUGCAGUUCUGCUCGGUUCUGGCUGGGCUCUUCCAGACUUCAAUUAGACGAAUCUGAGCAGCGUCUGAAAGGGGAAGGCUUGCUGAAUGGUAAUUGGAGAAGGAGAGAAGAAACGAAGUUAUGGGGAAGAGGAUGGAAAUACUACCUUCCUGGUGGCCUCAGGUUGUCUGCUGUCACAGAUGAGGCUCUAACAGAGAUGCUGCUGUCUUUUACGGAGCUGUCAAUGCCUGCAUGCCUGUGCAUGUCUGUGUGCACAUGCCUAUGGGUGUGCAUCUGUGUUUGGCCUUGGUGUAUUUGUGUAUUCCUGAGAGCUGAGUACAGUGGAAAGAUCGCUGGACCCCAGAUUCAGAAGCCCGGCUUUAAGACUGCAUUUCGUAGGGAAGGAGUUUAUUUGCACUGGUAAGUGAAGUUUCUCCAUAGUUACUCCCUAUAGCAUUAUAAUCACAGGAAAGAAAGAAAGAAAAAGGA
rnacentral:lncRNA from 1 species